rnacentral:rRNA from 1 species
AGUGAACGCUGGCGGUAGGCCUAACACAUGCCAGUCGAACGGCAGCACAGUAAGAGCUUGCUCUUACGGGUGGCGAGUGGCGGACGGGUGAGGAAUACAUCGGAAUCUACUUUUUCGUGGGGGAUAACGUAGGGAAACUUACGCUAAUACCGCAUACGACCUACGGGUGAAAGCAGGGGAUCUUCGGACCUUGCGCGAUUGAAUGGGCCGAUGUCGGAUUAGCUAGUUGGCGGGGUAAAGGCCCACCAAGGCGACGAUCCGUAGCUGGUCUGAGAGGAUGAUCAGCCACACUGGAACUGAGACACGGUCCAGACUCCUACGGGAGGCAGCAGUGGGGAAUAUUGGACAAUGGGCGCAAGCCUGAUCCAGCCAUACCGCGCGGGUGAAGAAGGCCUUCGGGUUGUAAAGCCCUUUUGUUGGGAAAGAAAAGCAGCAGGUUAAUACCCCGCUGUUCGGACGGUACCCAAAGAAUAAGCACCGGCUAACUUCGU